CAGAACUGAGGCAAAAGGGUGAGAGGACAGGAGGCAGAUCUGAGUUUUCUACAGAAAAACUUUACACUAAUGAGAGCUGCUGAAACAGAGAGGACUCGCCUAAGAACUGCUUACUGAUCUCAUUGAUGAGAGCUGUCAGGCUGCCUCCUUGCAACUUGUAAUUCAAGGUGCACCUUCUACAACACUGUCUACCUGCAGCUUACGGAUGAGUUAGGAAAGACUUAAAGGAAAUGGAACCUAAACCUGGAGUUCUAUGUAACAUGUCAGAAUUCAGAAGUAGAAAGUAAAGAAGGGCCAGGACCAGUCUUCAUGGAGUCAAGUCAUCUAGUAGGAGCUGCCACCACCAGGUGUCACUAACUCCACCCCUCACCAUUCACAGCAUUGGCACAACUGGAUGGGAGCACAAGGAAGUCUGGAAUCAUCAAGGAAACCCAUCCUCCUACCACAAAGACUGUAAUUAAAUUCACACAGGAGCAGCAACAUGACAGAGCAGAAAUAGCAAAGGAUUUGUAACCAAACAGUGGCUGCAUAAUAUAAAAAUGGCAUCACAGAAGAUAUCACUAUGACAUUAUGAUAAAAGGAGUUUUUAUUUUAAGAGAAAAGAGAGAAAUCACAGCAAAUGCAUGAUGGCAGGUGCCACAGCAGCCACUUGCAUUUGACCACAAAGGAAACACUAUGAGGAACCGCAAGAAUCUUAGAAACUUGAUAUCCUUGAGCUUCUGUAUCAUCCCUACCUUCCUCCAGAUCUUUUGUUUUAUGAAAGAAAAAUAAACUAUUGUCUG